CCCAGGGUUCCCCGUUGGCUUCCCUUCCAUCUAAAGGCCUCCCCCAAGUUUCGGUCCAAAAAGCUGAAAUAAAGAACGAAGUCAAUAAUAAUAUGGAGUGUAUGAGAAAUAGCUGGAAACUUCACCAUCCAUGACUUGAAGAAAUUGACGUUUUACAAAUUAUAUUUUCGCUGAAGAGGCACUUUCAAGAUCCUUCUCUGAGACCUGCACCAAUAAGACUAUACCAAUGUUCAGUUGAAACAUCAGACACUGUUCUGGUUAUGAUGGACACCACAAUGAAAGAGACCUGGUCCCUGUCUUGAGGAAACCCAACUGCUGGUAGAGAGCUCAGAGUAAUGAUUAGGAUGCAAUAUGAGGGAUGCAGUAAUUGGGAUCUACUUCUGGGAAUGGUCACAGCCUGAGAAAGAUGGCAUGCCCUGGAUGGAAUUCACAGAGAAUUAUUUUAAGUAAAAGAAGUUUAAAGUUA
rnacentral:lncRNA from 1 species